rnacentral:siRNA from 1 species
UAUCGAUGUAGGUUGCUGUGUGAG